GGAUGGUCAUUGGUGUAAUGGAUAACACCUUGGCUAGUUAAGCCUGAAGACCCGAGUUCAAAUCUCGCACCAUCCA
rnacentral:tRNA from 1 species